rnacentral:rRNA from 1 species
GAUGAACGCUGGCGGCGUGCUUAACACAUGCAAGUCGAACGGGAAACCUUUUAUUGAAGCUUCGGCAGAUUUAGCUGGCUUCUAGUGGCGGACGGGUGAGUAACGCGUGGGUAACCUGACAUAUACAGGGGGAUAACAAUCAGAAAUGGUAGCUAAUCCCGCAUCAGCGCACAGGAUCGCAUGUUCCGGCGUGAAAAGCUCCGGUGGUAUAAGAUGGGCCUGCGUUGGAUGAGCUAGGUGGCAGGGUUACGGCCUACCAAGACGACGAUCCAUAGCCGGCCUGAGAGGGGGAACAGCCGCAUUGGGACUGAGACACGACCCAGACUCCUACGAGAAGCAGCAGUGAGGGAAAUAGGGCAGGAAGGGAAACCCAGAUGCGGCGACGCCGCGUGAAGGAAGAAGUAUCUCGAUAUGUAAUCUUCUAGCAACAGAGAGGAUAGGGACGUAACCGGACUAGGAGGCCCCGGCAAACUACUG